GACGAACGCUGGCGGCGUGCUUAACACAUGCAAGUCGAACGGAAAGGCCCUGCUUUUAUGGGGUGCUCGAGUGGCGAACGGGUGAGUAACACGUGAGUAACCUGCCCUUGACUUUGGGAUAACUUCAGGAAACUGGGGCUAAUACCGGAUAGGAGCUCCUGCUGCAUGGUGGGGGUUGGAAAGUUUCGGCGGUUGGGGAUGGACUCGCGGCUUAUCAGCUUGUUGGUGGGGUAGUGGCUUACCAAGGCUUUGACGGGUAGCCGGCCUGAGAGGUGACCGGCCACAUUGGGACUGAGAUACGGCCCAGACUCCUACGGGAGGCAGCAGUGGGGAAUAUUGCACAAUGGGCGGAAGCCUGAUGCAGCAACGCCGCGUGCGGGAUGACGGCCUUCGGGUUGUAAACCGCUUUCGCCUGUGACGAAGCGUGAGUGACGGUAAUGGGUAAAGAAGCACCGGCUAACUACGUG
rnacentral:rRNA from 1 species